GAAGCGGCAACAGCUCAAAUUUGAAAUCUGACCCCUUGGGGGUCCGAGUUGUAAUUUGCAGAGGGUGUUUCGGGCACGGUGCCGGUUUAAGUCCUUUGGAACAGGGUGUCAUAGAGGGUGAGAACCCCGUAUGUGACCGGUCGCCAAACCCAUGUGAAACCCCUUCGACGAGUCGAGUUGUUUGGGAAUGCAGCUCAAAAUGGGUGGUAAAUUUCAUCUAAAGCUAAACAUUGGCCAGAGACCGAUAGCGCACAAGUAGAGUGAUCGAAAGAUGAAAAGCACUUUGGAAAGAGAGUCAAACAGCACGUGAAAUUGUUGAAAGGGAAGCGCUUGCGACCAGACCUGCUCGCGGGUGAUCAGCGGUGCUUUUCGCGCCGUGCACUCAUCCGCGAUCAGGCCAGCAUCGGUUCAGGCGGCCGGACAAAGACUCGGAGAAUGUAGCUCCCUCCGGGGAGUGUUAUAGCUCCUUGUGCAAUACGGCCAGCC
rnacentral:rRNA from 1 species